AGUGAUAUGGCCGACUUUAGGCGGGGGACUGUAAAUCCCCCUAUAAUAGCUAAACUAUUUAUCAUUA
rnacentral:tRNA from 1 species